rnacentral:rRNA from 1 species
GAUGAACGCUGGCGGCGUGCUUAACACAUGCAAGUCGAACGAUGAAGCCCAGCUUGCUGGGUGGAUUAGUGGCGAACGGGCGAGUAACACGUGCGUAACCUGCCCUUCUCUCUGGGUUAAGCCUGGGAAACUGGGCCUAAUACCGGAUAGGAGCGUCCACCGCAUGGUGGGUGUUGGAAAGAUUUAUCGGUUUUGGAUGGACUCGCGGCCUAUCAGCUUGUUGGUGAGGUAAUGGCUCACCAAGGCGACGACGGGUAGACGGCCUGAGAGGGUGACCGGCCACACUGGGACUGAGACACGGCCCAGACGCCUACGUGAGGCAGCAGUGGGGAAUAUUGCACAAUGGGCGCAAGCCUGAUGCAGCGACGCCGCGUGAGGGAUGACGGCCUUCGGGUUGUAAACAUCUUUCAGUAGGGAAGAAGCGAAAGUGACGGUACCUGCAGAAGAAGCACCGGCUAACUACGUG